ACAUCAUAAUUUGAUAUGUUCAAGGAAACUACGACCGCAUCGUUAUGAGGGAAUUGGACUCCCUGGGCGUCUUCUUCAGUGAAGGUUAUGGGCUCUUCAACUUUUUGCCGCUUGAGGGGUGCAGCUGAUGUGCUGGUUGCCUCCGGCCGGGAUUCUUCCGAGAUGACGUUGAGGGAAUCCGGCGAAGGCUGGUCAUCCGGCCACCCUUUAUCAUCAACCAUAGCCGGAGGUAGUUGUGCAGAAACCUCACGGGAGGGCAUCGGAUGAGAAAAAGAGAGUUGGGUACCGGAAAAGAUGGCCGGAAGCGGGUCCGUUGAGCGCUCCUUCAAGAACAAGGGUGCUGCGAAGGUUCAUGCCCCUCCUUCUAGCGCCAAUCCUGUUGGUGCAAAAAUCCGCCUGCGCUGGAGAAGCUGGAGUUGAGGAAGCCGCG
rnacentral:lncRNA from 1 species